rnacentral:antisense_RNA from 1 species
CUUGACCGAGCCGAGCAGCAGCGGUCGCUGCGGGUCACGGUCUCGACCGUACGUGGCCUGCAGCGCCUGCACCUC